GGGCAGUUAGCUCAGUUGGAUAGAGCGCAAGCCUCCGAAGCUUGAGGUCACAGGUUCGAUCCCUGUACUGCCCACCA
rnacentral:tRNA from 1 species